CCCUUAGAUGUUCUGGGCCGCACGCGCGCUACACUGAUGCAUUCAACGAGUCUAAAACCUGCUCUGAUAGGGGUGGGUAAUCUUUUGAAUGUGCAUCGUGAUUGGGAUAGAUGAUUGCAAUUUUUCAUCUUCAACGAGGAAUGCCUAGUAAACGCAAGUCAUCAGCUUGCAUUGAUUACGUCCCUGCCCUUUGUACACACCGCCCGUCGCUCCUACCGAUUGAAUGAUCCGAUGAAUAUCAUGGAUUGAGGAUGCAAGCAGGUUCGCCUGUCUUCAUCUUCGAGAAGUGAAGUAAAUCUUAUCAUUCAGAGGAAGGAGAAGUCGUAACA
rnacentral:rRNA from 1 species